AAUAGAUACCCCGGUAGUCCACGCCGUAAACGAUGAGUGCUAAGUGUUAGAGGGUUUCCGCCCUUUAGUGCUGCAGCUAACGCAUUAAGCACUCCGCCUGGGGAGUACGGCCGCAAGGCUGAAACUCAAAGGAAUUGACGGGGGCCCGCACAAGCGGUGGAGCAUGUGGUUUAAUUCGAAGCAACGCGAAGAACCUUACCAGGUCUUGACAUCCUCUGCCAACCCUAGAGAUAGGGCGUUCCCCUUCGGGGGACAGAGUGACAGGUGGUGCAUGGUUGUCGUCAGCUCGUGUCGUGAGAUGUUGGGUUAAGUCCCGCAACGAGCGCAACCCUUGAUCUUAGUUGCCAGCAUUUAGUUGGGCACUCUAAGGUGACUGCCGGUGACAAACCGGAGGAAGGUGGGGAUGACGUCAAAUCAUCAUGCCCCUUAUGACCUGGGCUACACACGUGCUACAAUGGAUGGUACAAAGAGCUGCGAACCCGCGAGGGUAAGCGAAUCUCAUAAAGCCAUUCUCAGUUCGGAUUGUAGGCUG
rnacentral:rRNA from 1 species